GCCCGCGUAGCUCAAUCGGAUAGAGCGUCAGACUCUUAGCUUGUGCGGGCGAUCUGAAGGCUGCGAGUUCGACCCUCGCCGUGGGCU
rnacentral:tRNA from 1 species